AUUUUUCAAAUCUGCAAGACAAUCGAUUGUGAACCUUAUGACAAUCGAUUGUGUUGAGGCACUGUACAUCAAAGUUUUUCAAAGAUACAAAAUAAUCGAUUGUGAACUUAUGACAAUCGAUUGUGUUGAGGCAGUGUCUAUCAGACAUUUCAAAGUCAUAAAAUAAUCGAUUGUGUACCUUUGACAAUCGAGUGCAUUGAGGCAGUGUCUAACUGAUUUUUCAAAGACUGAUAUAUAAUCGAUUGUUCUCAUAGCAUAAUCGAUUGUGUAAUUGACCGUUGCCAAAAUAUUUUCAAAAACCGUCAGGUAAUCN
rnacentral:lncRNA from 1 species